rnacentral:rRNA from 1 species
GAUGAACGCUGGCGGCGUGCCUAAUACAUGCAAGUCGAGCGAACGGAUGAGAAGCUUGCUUCUCUGAUGUUAGCGGCGGACGGGUGAGUAACACGUGGAUAACCUACCUAUAAGACUGGGAUAACUUCGGGAAACCGGAGCUAAUACCGGAUAAUAUUUUGAACCGCAUGGUUCAAAAGUGAAAGACGGUCUUGCUGUCACUUAUAGAUGGAUCCGCGCUGCAUUAGCUAGUUGGUAAGGUAACGGCUUACCAAGGCAACGAUGCAUAGCCGACCUGAGAGCGUGAUCGGCCACACUGGAACGGAGACACGGUCCAGACUCCUGUGGGAGGCAGCAGUAGGGAAUCUGCCGCAAUGGGCGAAAGCCUGACGGAGCAACGCCGCGUGAGUGAUGAAGGUCUUCGGAUCGUAAAACUCUGUUAUUAGGGAAGAACAUAUGUGUAAGUAACUGUGCACAUCUUGACGGUACCUAAUCAGAAAGGCACGGCUAACUACGUG